GACUGCUUCUUGGAGAGCAUCUCUGACAUUGACGAAGAGGAGCUAACAGGAGGGCCAAAGGAAGAGGAGGAGCAACAGAAGAGGACAGAAGAACACUCAUCCUCUUUGUCUACGAUACUGCUCCGACACCAAACCCCUACUCAGGACCUUUCGACUGGGGUGCGUGGGCUGGUUCCCUGUAAUCCAAGUGGCGCCUGAACAGGGACCUGAGUAGAAGGCAUUUCAAAGGUAUGGUAAAUGGAAUAUUCACUGAAAUACAUGUUUCAGGUUGGUUAGGA